CCUACGGGUGGCUGCAGUGAGGAAUAUUGGUCAAUGGGCGCAAGCCUGAACCAGCCAUCCCGCGUGCAGGAAGACGGCCCUAUGGGUUGUAAACUGCUUUUCCAGGGGGAGAAACUUGCGCACGUGUUGCGCAAUUGACGGUACCCUGGGAAUAAGCAUCGGCUAACUCCGUGCCAGCAGCCGCGGUAAUACGGAGGAUGCGAGCUCAUUCCGGAUUCAGGGUGCUUAAAGGGACCAUUAAGGGACUGGUGAAAUCCUGCAGCUUAACUGCAGAACUGCCAUUGAUACUGAUAGCCUUGAGUUUGGUUAAGGUAGGCGGAAUGUGUAAUGUAGCGGUGAAAUGCUUAGAUAUUACACAGAACACCAAUUGCGUAGGCAGCUUACUGAGCCGACACUGACGCUGAGGCACGAAAGCGUGGGGAUCGAACAGGAUUAGAUACCCGUGUAGUC
rnacentral:rRNA from 1 species